UUCCACUCGCUCUGCAGCCGCUGCCGUUGCCGGGGGCACUCGCCGCCGCCCUCCCAGGCCCCGAAAGUCUGGAGGGCCCUAGGAAGGGCGCAGAGGCUGGGUCUGAUCCUGCUCAGGUGGCAAUGAAGACGUAGCAAUAGACGAUGACGAGCAGGGGGAGGAAGAACACGAAGCACAUGAGCAGCAUGGUGUAGGCGCGGACGGACGGCGUGAAGGUCAUGUAGUCCCAGGAGCAGGAGCCCUGCCCGGUCCGCCGGCUGCCUGCUCCUGCGUCCAGCGUGGACCCAGCCUGGAGCUGCUCUUGGGGCUGGUGGCUGCUCUGUGUCCAGUGAAGCACAAAGGACUCAUCAAGGACAGCCUCUGCCACCCCC